CCCCAUGCUGCCGCGCGGGGCUGUUCAGUCGGGACACUGAACAUUGCCACAGUGGAAUUCUAGGCAGACAACUUCAGCUAACGGUUCUGCUUGCCAUUUGGUGACCUGGCAAGACACUUCCUAGAUAAGUCUGGAAAAGGCAGGACGCCUCAUCCUGUUUUAAUAAAAAACUUAGAAAAAACCGGCUUCAUAAGAGAAGGCCCGGCAGUGGAGGGAGCAUUUCAUCGUGUUUCAUAGACGCAGCUGAAAUGGACGGAGACCCAUCCGGAAGCCGUGGAGAGAGCCAGUGUCUCUUCAGCCUGCCCCAAGACGGGGGUCCUCCUGUCUCCCCCAUGAUCCGGGCUUGGCCUCUCUGGGCUGUGAGACGCACAAGUGAAAUGCUUCAACCUCAGAGGCCACAGGGACCUUCCACCACAGGCCUCACGCUCAUUCCUGCCACUUGCUUCCCAUCCCAGCUCCUUCCUCCUCAGCUUGGCUCCAACAGCCCCGAGUCCCUGCCUCCCUGUCCCUGUCAUCCUUGUCUGGCCGUGCCCAGCGCUGUGAAGCCAGAACAGACCACACUGCUCUACGCACACCAUGGGCAGGCAGGCAGGCAGGCACUGGGCAGCAGGUUGCAGAUGGAUGUGGAUGGUGCCGAGGACCCCCACCGGGUCUGGCUUCCCAAUCUUGGCCUCUGCUCUUCUUUCUCCUCUGCUGAGAGCCUCUGCUCAGCGUUCAGAGAGGGAAGGUGUGGGUGGCUGCCUCCUGCCCCAUGCCCCCGCCUCGGCCCCCACCUCUUCCCUCUCCUGGAGCAGUUAGUGUCCUCAGAGAAGGUCCUCGCUCAGUCCACGCCUGGCAAAUCCCACGGAGAGGCCCGGAAGCAGUUCCCUCCACGGCCAGCAUUCUUUCCUUACUCAUCAUCUUAUGCUGUUACUGUCUCCGUAACUGGAACCGACGGUCCUCGAGAGAAGGCGUCUUGUCCCUCCCACCGUGCCCACAACCUUCACGCGGUGCCUGACACAGAGCAGGGCCUCUCGAGCCUUUGAGGACAUCUGGAGGACGACUCCGAACUCACCCUCGCGUUGCACCGUCUCACCUCUCUGUAGGGGCUUGUCCCUUCCCACGGUGACCUUCGAAGCAUGUCUGUCUGUCACCAUGUCCCGGCACAGUCUGGCCAUGCUCACUCAUGUCCAGCCGCUGACUCAUUGCAGCUGGCACGCUUCUUGCAAAUGGCAGAAACACACACAUUUUUUGCAUGAGUAAAUAGUAACCAAAAAAAAAGAUGGUUUACGUGCUGUACACUAGCAGCCAGCACGUCACCUGGAAACAGCGAGACGAGAGCCGCCACUCAGACAUCUCCAUCUCCUGGGAUCCGCGCUCCGUGUGGCCCUGGCAGAGUGCCCAGGAUAAAGGGCAUGGCCAGCACCUGCGGCCUGCUCUGGGCCCCAGUCCUGGUCCCCGCAUCCGGACGAGGCUGUAGCAUCCCGGAGGCUUCUGCUCUGCCUCUGGGGACCUUUGCUCCAUUUGCAGAAGGUUUCCUUCUUCCUGCAGUGAGGCGGGUGGUGACUCCAGAGCUGCCUGCUCAGCAUAGGGCGACCCCUUGCCAGGCUGUCCAUGGUGCUCUUCCUAAGUGAGCCCCCCUACCCCCGGGGGAACCCCUGGCUCUGUUUGGGGCCUGGCAGACUCUCCCUAGGGCUGGCCCCUUCCUGCACCCCCCCUCCCCUGCCCUCCGACCUCAGCAUAUGGCUCAGGGACACAGACACCCAAAGGCCUCCUCUUGGGUCCUCAGCCUUGAUCUCGGCCACGGCCCUGCUUAAAUAUCAGGAAAACGCAUUGGCCACAUAAAUAAUUCCUCACUAACGGCAGCGACAGAAAUCGGAACCAGCAACCCUAGAGGGCUGGAGCGGGGGGGCCACCUGGCCUGUGAACAGACACAUUGCUGCUGCUUUGCUGGCCUUCGUGGUUCAUUUAAGCGGCCUGCGGAAGGCCUCGCCUGAAAGUGGGUGCUGUCUGAGAUGGGGAGGGGCCCUGCGCCCAGUAGGACCCACACAACUGUGGCAGCCACAGAGCCACAAGGAGCCUCAGUGUAGGAGGCGAAGGAGACAACGUCCCGGGGGCAGACGCUGGGACUGGGCAGUCUCUGGUUUGACCUGUUCACCGCGGGUUAUUGACUUAACCUGUGGACAACUGGGCCAUUCUUUGAGGGUGGAGGGGGUUGGGGGCUUUUCUCCUACCUGCCCUUCCCAGGCCAGGGCCGCGGCUUCCUGACCUAGUGCACACAUGUCUGUCAAGCUCUCCAGAUACAAUGGGGCAAAAUGACCAAUGUGGCCCCCCGGGUCCCUGAGAAGGAUGCCACUGCAGUGGUUAAUCUGAUUUUCUGGCACCUAAAGCCACUAGGCUGAAGCCUAAAAAAAAAAAAAAAA